AACCAGGGUGGUAACAACUGGAUUAAGAAAGUCAAAAUAGCAUCUUGUGAAAGAUGUCUGUAUGCAGGCUGUUAUACAGCCACCUGGCUGAAGGUAAGUUUGUUUGGGUCUAUGUAUUCCUUCCUUUUUUAUUCCAGUCUCGCCAUCUACUUUCUUUAAAACUAUUAUUUAUAGCAUUUGAUGGUUGUGGACCUGGCCAGAGUUUCUAGAUCCGCAAAGCAAAACCUAGGAAUCUUCUUAAAUAACAACAAAGAAUAUGGGAGGAAAACAAGAUACAUGUUCAAUGAUAUUAGAAAAAGAAUAAAAAGCAAAAUGCCACCUCACCAGUGCAUUGUCCUAAAUUAAGGGCUGGCGUCUAAAAGACAGAGCAAGAAACUUAGAAUUACAAGAAUUCGUUCUACUCUCCAUUUGGGGGUGGAAACCCCAAGCCUUUUGGACAUAUAAGGCCAGGAGCAGUGGACCUGUGGCCUAGGAGCCAAGUGUGGUUGUGCACACACACCCCACACACAUACUGUCCAGAGCCCCAUUGAAAACUCUUGGCAGGGCUGGCUGGAGAAGGAAGAAUGGGACGAGAACCUGGAGGCUGACCCAGGGGAAGGGAGGGGUCCAGUGGUUUAGAAAACUCUGAGCAAAAUGCUGAGGAAUGGCUGAGUAGAUUAUCAGAAGAAAACCCUGCCUCAAUUCCAGUUGACAUCCCUGACACCAAGGAGCCACCUGCCCCAGUUGUGGUUCCCCCUCUGGACAGUGAAGUGCUUUCAGCCUCUGGAGAAGGGCCUAGUUUGGGCCAAGCCUACCCCUGACUCAUGGGAUGCUCGUUGCACCAGUGGAGGCAGACCCAGCCUAUUGGCAGGAAUGUCUGAUUGCUUGCCCACUCACAUGGCUGAGAAAGACAACCAUGUGAAAGACUGUGCCUGGCCCACUCUUGAAAAAGUAUAUGUCCAGGGGGGUGUACUCCUAGCCAUGAACCUUAGAGCUCUGAGGUUGCCCAUGAGGGAAUGUAGACCUCAGCUGAAAAGGGUGCCCCAUUCCUGUGUUAUGCCAUGUUCAUGGAAAUCAAGGUACAUCCAAGCAUGUUGGAAAAUUGUUGCCCAGUGUUGCCCAUUGCCCUAUUGCCCAUUGGUGCCCAUUGCCCUAUUGGUGGCAAUGGAAACAUGACUAUAUGGGGUGGGGAGGGAGAAUGCCUCUGGUUUGGGGAAUGUGAUGUACGUGAUGAGUGCCAUUCUGUUGUGGAGUAGGUGCGUAGAUUAUUUCUUUUACUUUAUUUAUUUAUUUAUUGGAAAGCAUAUAUAUUUCAAAAAUCUCAAAUCAGUGUACAGUCUAAAAACAAUUAAGCCAAUAAAAUAGCAGUAUAAAAGCACAAAAAAUAUAUAAAAGUGACUAAAACCGAAAACCCAAGGAUCAAACACGCAAUGUAUGUCCAAUCCCAGGUUGAGGUUCAAUAUAAGCUAGGACUUUGUCACAUACUCCUUCCUUGGCUGUUUUAGGCCUGCUUUCCUGACUUCAUCCAGACCCUGCAACCUUGAUCCUGUAGACCCAGUUUAGCAGACCAGUUCAGUGGCACCCAGACUGCCCUUUGUUGCAAGAAUGGUGGUCUUUAGAGGAGGUAUUUUGAUAUGCUGAUUUGCAGACGCCAGCUUCACUCUGCUUGAGGCAUGCUUCAAAUCUCCACCAGCUAUAAUGGUCAGGAAUUUUGUCGCCACAUCCUUUAAACCCACAGAACACAGUAGGGCCACAGCAGCAGCACCAACAGCAAUCCGUUCAGCCAGACAUCUGGCUCCAUUUCUGUAGCCUUUCCGUGUAGCUAAGGAUCUUGCGUUCAGGUAAAUAUAUUGUCUAGGAUUUGGCUUGCUUUAAUAUCCCUUAUCUGUGAUGCGCCAUGCCAAUAACACAUUGCAAGACCGUAUGCAAGCGUGGUAGAGGAACGGUACAGAGGGGGGGUGUGGCGGGGGUGUUGUCUGUUCCAUUAGCUCUUGAUGAAACAAAGGAGCUCUCCAAUGACAUCCCAUUUUAUAAAGCAAUGAGAUAAACUCCAUUCAAAUGGAGUCCAGGUUGCCAAGGGAUCAGUUAGAAAGAUAUUGCAUCGCCUGGCAGUAAAAAAAAAAAGAGGAAGCGGUCUCUCCAUCCUUUAGGAAACUAAAUAUGACAUAAUAGGCAUCACUGAAACCUGGUGGGAUAAGUCCCACGAUUGGAAUGUAAUAAUGGAGGGAUACAAUCUAUUUCAGAGAAACAGACCAGACAAGAAAGGAGGAGGAGUGGCGUUAUAUGUCAGGGAUGUGUAUACCUGUGAAGAGAUCCAAGAUUUAGAACCUCAAAGCCCAAGUGAGAGCAUUUGGGUCAAAAUUAAGGGAGAGAAGAAUAACAGUGACCUCAUUGUGGGAGUUUACUAUAGAUCCCCAAGCCAAACGGAGGACAUAGAUGAUGCCUUCCUGGAACAGAUGGCCAAGCAUGCAAAAGGAAGGGAGAUAGUAGUAAUGGGGGACUUCAAUUACCCGGAUAUUUGUUGGAUGUCAAACUCAGCCAAGAGCAUAAGGUCAAACAGAUUCCUCACUGGCCUUGCAGACAACUUCAUUGUCCAGAAAGUGGGAGAAGCAACAAGAGGAACAGCCAUUUUAGAUCUGGUCCUAACCAAUGUUGAUGACCUGGUUAGUGGGGUAGAAGUGGAAGGAUCAUUAGGCACGAGUGAUCAUGCUCUUCUGAAGUUUACUAUACAGCAGAAAGGAGCAGCCAAGCAUACUAGGACUCAAUUUCUUGACUUUAAGAAAGCCGACUUCAUAAAACUUAGGGAAGUGCUGGGUGAGAUCCCAUGGACAGUAAUACUAAAAGGAAAGGGAGUUCAUGAUGGCUGGGAGUUUGUUAAGAGGGAGAUAGUAAAAGCACAACUUCAGGCAAUACCAAUGAGACGGAAACAUGGAAGGUGCCUAAAGAAGCCAGGGUGGCUAUCUAAAGAACUUUUAACUGAGUUAAGAUUAAAAAGGAUGUGUACAAAAAAUGGAAAAGGGGGGAAACCACCAAAGAGGAAUUCAAACAAAUAGCCAGCACGUGUAGACACAAAGUCAGAAAAGCUAAAGCACAGAAUGAACUCAGGCUUGCUAGAGAGGUUAAAAGCAACAAAAAGGCUUUUAUGGGUAUGUUCAUAGCAAAAGGAAGAACAAAGAAACAGUGGGAUCACUCAGAGGAGAAGAUGGUGAAAUGCAAACAGGGGACACAGAAAGGGCUGAACUCCUCAAUGCCUUCUUUGCCUCAGUCUUCUCCGAUAAAGAAAACAAUGCCCGACCUGAAGAAUUUGGAGCAAAUGAUUCAGCAGAGGAAACACAGCCCAGAAUAACUAAGGAGAUAGUACAAGAAUACUUGGCUAGUUUAGAUGUAUUCAAGUCUCCAGGGCCAGAUGAACUGCAUCCAAGAGUAUUAAAAGAACUGGCAGAUGUGAUCUCAGAACCACUGGCAGUCAUCUUUGAGAAUUCCUGGAGAACAGGCGAAGUCCCGGCAGAUUGGAGGAGGGCAAAUGUUGUCCCUAUUUUCAAAAAGGGGAAAAGAGAGGACCCAAAUAAUUACCGCCCAGUCAGUCUGACAUCAAUACCAGGGAAGAUUCUGGAGCAGAUCAUUAAGCAAACGGUCUGUGAGCACCUAGAAAGGAAUGCUGUGAUCACCAAUAGUCACCAUGGAUUUCUGAAAAAUAAGUCAUGUCAGACUAACCUGAUCUUGUUUUUUGACAGAAUUACAAGCCUGGUAGAUGAAGGGAACGCAGUGGAUGUAGCCUACCUUGAUUUCAGCAAGGCAUUUGACAAGGUGCCCCAUGAUAUUCUUGUAAAGAAGCUGGUAAAAUGCGGUCUUGACUAUGCUACCACUCAGUGGAUUUGUAACUGGCUGACUGACCGAACCCAAAGGGUGCUCAUCAAUGGUUCCUCUUCAUCCUGGAGAAGAGUGACUAGUGGGGUGCCACAGGGUUCUGUCUUGGGCCCGGUCUUAUUCAACAUCUUUAUCAAUGACUUGGAUGAUGGACUCAAGGGCAUCCUGAUCAAAUUUGCAGAUGACACCAAACUGGGAGGGGUGGCUAACACCCCAGAGGACAGGAUCACACUUCAAAACGACCUUGACAGAUUAGAGAACUGGGCCAAAACAAACAAGAUGAAUUUUAACAGGGAGAAAUGUAAAGUAUUGCACUUGGGCAAAAAAAUGAGAGGCACAAAUACAAGAUGGGUGACACCUGGCUUGAGAGCGGUACAUGUGAAAAGGAUCUAGGAGUCUUGGUUGACCACAAACUUGACAUGAGCCAGCAGUGUGACGCGGCAGCUAAAAAAGCCGAUGCAAUUCUGGGCUGCAUCAAUAGGAGUAUAGCCUCUAGAUCAAGGGAAGUAAUAGUGCCACUGUAUUCUACUCUGGUCAGACCUCACCUGGAGUACUGUGUCCAGUUCUGGGCACCACAGUUCAAGAAGGACACUGACGAACUGGAACGUGUCCAGAGGAGGGCAACCAAAAUGGUCAAAGGCCUGGAAACGAUGCCUUAUGAGGAACGGCUAAGGGAGCUGGGCAUGUUUAGCCUGGAGAAGAGGAGGUUAAGGGGUGAUAUGAUAGCCAUGUUCAAAUAUAUAAAAGGAUGUCACAUAGAGGAGGGAGAAAGGUUGUUUUCUGCUGCUCCGGACAUGGAGCAAUGGAUCCAAACUACAAGAAAGAAGAUUCCACCUAAACAUUAGGAAGAACUUCCUGACAGUAAGAGCUGUUCAACAGUGGAAUUUGCUGCCAAGGAGUGUGGUGGAGUCUCCUUCUUUGGAGGUCUUUAAGCAGAGGCUUAACAACCAUAUGUCAGGAGUGCUCUGAUGGUGUUUCCUGCUUGGCAGGGGGUUGGACUCGAUGGCCCUUGUGGUCUCUUCCAACUCUAUGAUUCUAUGAUUCUAUUCUAUGAUUCUAUGAUUCUCUCUCUUUAAGACAUACACACACCCCAACUAGAUUACACUGGUGCAUAUGGACUGACUACUUAGCAUACCUGAAGUUUUGCUCUAUCUGCUCGCUCUAUCUGUUGCAGACAUCUAAACAAAAGCGCUUGCAUCUCACUGACCAUGGCUAGGAAGGCACCAGUUCAAGCUGAAGCGAAAUGUAUGAGCUUCCUAUGGCACUGUAAUGUGGUGACCAUUUGGCAGCACCAGAGGCUACGCAAGCCCUCUUGGCAGUUGCUUUUCGCAGAUGUCGCAACUUGGUCCUGUUAUUUUAAUAUGGCCAGAGUGGCUUUAAGUGGCGGGGAUUCAAAAGCCAUUGAAUGGCGAGGCUGCGCUGUGACUCAAGGCCCAGCUCAUGCUACACCGAGGAGGAUUAAUUGGAUUGGAAACAUUCAUGACAUCAUCUUUGACUCGUUUGUUUUGAAAACCUUCCACUGACGUAGGUCCCCCAACCUCUUAUACUAACUUCUUGUUCCACUGCCCAGCCACUCUCUAAAUCAAAAAGGGUUUCAUAAUUCCGAUGUUUAGAUAGCCAGGCACUUGUAUAAAAGGGAGUGCUACGCGCAGGAUUACAAUGACCCAUGCCAAAAAUCAUUUCUUUAAUUCCGUUUCUAUCUCACCCCUUUCCUGGGGCUUGGGGUGUGUAAUAAGUACAGUCCAUAAUAAAACAACAGGGGCAGAACAGAAACAAAAUGUCCCAUUAAAAUUCACCCAUGCCUCCUUAACCCUGGCUGUCCAGUGCCAGCCCAAGGAGGAAAGUUUUAUGGCUCUUCUGGAAAGUAUUCAAGCUCAGCUGGAGCACACAGUGCAUAUUCAGAAAACUUUUUUAAAAAAAUAAAUCUUCAGUUCUGAGACUAAUCUUAUUGCAUUUCUGUCCCCAUUUUAGUGGUUAUAGUGAAACAUUGAUUUUGGCCUCUUUUAUUACAAUAUUUUAUACAUUUGGAAUCUAAUCUAAUGUCCCCAGGUCUUUUCUUCUGGAGAACACUGGGUUUAUUCAAUCUUUCUCGCUUUAUCAUCUUUCCAGCUUUCCAACAUUUUUUUAAAAAAUACAAAGCACCCCUUCCAAGAUCUAAUCUUUUCUGAGUAAUGCAGAGUAAAACAUUGCAUUUGGCUUUGUUUGGUUCUCAAAGAAGUUAUUCUGUGUCCCUCUGAGUUCAGUAGGUGUGUUUAGGACUACAGCUUAAUUUAGCUGAAAUAAUUUCGUGUAGCUGGUCAGGAGAUUAGCUUUAGACUGGCUGAAGAAAGAGCUCAGUGGUAGAACACAGGGGGCCUCAGAUUCAGGUCACAGAGUGGCUGUGUAUCCUAUUUGAUUUGAUGGUGUCCUAUUUAAUCCAAGUCUAGUUUAAAGAUAAGGAAUCAUAAAGGGAUAGCAAGAGCAUUGAAGUUGCCCAUCCACACACAAGUCACCUGGCAUCUUCAUUGUACUUCUGUUUAAAUUAUAGUGAUUAUUUCUAAAUUAACAUCUAAAUUACAAUAUGCAUAUUCUGCAAAUUCAGGUCCUCUUUUGCCUUCUUUUUUGGCAAUAUGUAACUGGCCACUCUAUCUCUGGCAUCUCAAGUUAGAAAGAUCACGUCAUAGCAAGUGAUGAGGAGGUCCUCUGCUUGGGAGCCUACAGAGAUGCUGCUGCCAAUAUGCGGCUAGAUGGACAAAUAACCUUAUCUAGUCAGUAUAAGACAGCUUCCUAUGCUCCUUGCUAAAUAUAUCAUUGGUUUCAAACAAGAUGACUUCUUUGUACAGCAAAGAACCCCUCAGAGCCAGUCAAGAAGUCUGCUUCCUUCCUUACAGGUCAGUAGUUUGCAAGCGAUGCUCAGUAAAAUCCUGGGGUUCCUUAGAAUCUUAUCAAAGUUCCUUGAUAAUAUAUAUUACUUGCAGGCAAACCUCACCAAACAAUACUUUGCUCUCAAUCUUCCCUUGCAAUUGGCGCUCUAGAGCUCAGUCCUGGUUCACACAGGGCAAUGGUGUGGCCUUACUCCAAUGGACUGAGUGUGUGCUCUCAACGUGCCCCAGAGUCUUCAGCUAUGCCUGGGGCUCUGUGGAAGAGGCAUACAUAGGUGUUCCCUAACAGGCAAGUAGAUGUGGAACGCAUUCACUAAAGGCAACUUGACAAACCACCGUAGCCCACAAAUGAUUUGAGCUGGCCUGAAUGCUCUUAAAUGGUUAUCAGCAACAUGUUGUUGUUGUUUAGUCGUUUAGUUGUGUCUGACUCUUCAUGACCCCAUGGACCAGAGCAUGCCAGGCACUCCUGUCUUCCACAUCCUCCCACAGUUUGGUCAAACUCAUGCUGGUAGCUUUGAGAACACUGUCCAACCAACUCAUCCUCUGUCGUCCCCUUCUCCUUGCGCCCUCCAUCUUUCCCAACAUCAGGGUCUUUUCCAGGGAGUCUUCUCUUCUCAUGAGGUGGCCAAAGUAUUGGCUUCACGAUCUGUCCUUCCAGUGAGCACUCAGGGCUGAUUUCCUUAAGAAUGGAGAGGUUUGAUCUUCUUGCAGUCCAUGGGACUCUCAAGAGUCUCCUAUCAGCAACAUACUAUGGGCCAAACCAUAGGUAGGGUGUAGAAUAUGUGACUGGAUCUCAGGAAAAGGCUAUGACUCAGUGGUAAAGAAAAGACAUAAUUUUGCAUGCAGAAAGUCCUAGGUUCAAUCCCUGGUGUCUCCAGGUUGUUUGGUAUGGGGGAACCCAAGGCUUUCAUCUCCUGCAACUAGCAGGCACGUGGGUGAAGGAGCAUUGAUUACAAUCCGAAGAGCAGUAGGGAUAAAGGGUUACAACCGCCCUCCUGCUUGCCAGCAGUGCUGGAUUUAUGCAUAGGCUAAGUAGGCUGGAACCUGGGGCCUCUAAAUUUAGGGGGCCUCGCCAGCCAGCCCAUUCCCUACUGGGUAGUCUCCCCUCCCAAAAUUGCAAACCCAAGACUUAAUGCAAGGGCAGGGCAACUCGGGCCCAGCAACUAUGAGACACAGGGCUAGCCAGUGGGGCCCAUUUUGAAGCAGUGGGGCCCAACUUGAUUUUUUUUUUUUUUUGUAGGGCCCCAGUUCACAGCCAAAGUCUGCAAAAUCUUAUAGAUAUAAAUAAAAUCCAUCUACGUUGCGCUGGAGCGAGGGGAGACGCUUAGGAGUGGUCCACAGGGCCCAAUUUGACCAAAUUGCUCCAACUGCCUUAUAGUCAGCCCUGAUGAGACUGUGCAGGGGUUGGACUGACAAGCCCUGCACCUUCCAGGUCCUAUUCAGAGUACAGACUCAAGGACUUGUUAUGGAAAUAAAGGGGAGGGCACUUAUUGGAAAUCAGUUUUGCCACCCAUCACCCCCCCACCCAACAAAGUGGCACCAAUAAAGAAAAGUUCCAGGGUGGCAACAGAAAGGAAACUAAAAAUGCUUUUGCAGUUCAUCAGAAAUAUCCAGCAAUAUCAAGUUAUAGGAAAACUGGUGCUAUUAACUGUAACCCUUCUAGUUGAUUAAUUGAUUCAGCAACUUCCAUGCACAUGACGUGUGAUGCUAAUUCCCCCCCCCCGAGUUAAAUGAUAACUCAUCAGAGGCAGCUGCAGUUGCAAAUGGAAACAAAAUAUCUAUGAAAGGAAGAGGAGCAGGUUUGCUCAAGUGUGUUGCAGAUGAUGAUGGUGAGGUAGAAAUACUGUUUGUAAUGAAGUGAGAACAGUAGUUUACUUGCUCGACUUAACAAAAAAGAAAGUUUUGAGAAUUUACAUGCUAGAUUAAAAUUGAUUAAUUCAUUGAGAAGGGGAUUGUAUGAAAAACACUGGGGACUAAUUUGAAUAGUAGAGUGCCUGGUAUCUGGUGGGCAAUCUCCUCCUUUAUUUCCACACUGUGGCUGCAGACCAAAUCACCUGUCAGGAGAGCUAUGAGAUUCAGGUGAGGGUCAUAUGCCUUGUCAAUCCCAGCAGGUAUAUAACAGGAAGACCAUCCCGCCAGGCCUGCGUCCUGGGUCUCCAAGAAGUAAGAGGUGGAGCAAGCAAACAAAGGAAGACCAGCAGGAGCUGGAGGAUGACGUGUCGUGUAUCUGGCCUUGGGAG